GCAUAUCAAUAAGCGGAGGAAAAGAAACCAACAGGGAUUGCCCUAGUAACGGCGAGUGAAGCGGCAACAGCUCAAAUUUGAAAUCUGGCUCUUUUAGAGUCCGAGUUGUAAUUUGCAGAGGGCGCUUUGGCUUUGGCAGCGGUCCAAGUUCCUUGGAACAGGACGUCACAGAGGGUGAGAAUCCCGUACGUGGUCGCUAGCUAUUGCCGUGUAAAGCCCCUUCGACGAGUCGAGUUGUUUGGGAAUGCAGCUCUAAAUGGGAGGUAAAUUUCUUCUAAAGCUAAAUAUUGGCCAGAGACCGAUAGCGCACAAGUAGAGUGAUCGAAAGAUGAAAAGCACUUUGGAAAGAGAGUCAAACAGCACGUGAAAUUGUUGAAAGGGAAGCGCUUGCAGCCAGACUUGCUUGCAGUUGCUCAUCCGGGCUUUUGCCCGGUGCACUCUUCUGCAGGCAGGCCAGCAUCAGUUUGGGCGGUGGGAUAAAGGUCUCUGACACGUUCCUUCCUUCGGGUUGGCCAUAUAGGGGAGACGUCAUACCACCAGCCUGGACUGAGGUCCGCGCAUCUGCUAGGAUGCUGGCGUAAUGGCUGUAAGCGGCCCGUCUUGAAACACGGACCAAGGAGUCUAACAUCUAUGCGAGUGUUUGGGUGUCAAGCCCGAGCGCGUAAUGAAAGUGAACGGAGGUGGGAACCCGCAAGGGUGCACCAUCGACCGAUCCUGAAGUUUACGGAAGGAUUUGAGUAAGAGCAUGGCUGUUGGGACCCGAAAGAUGGUGAACUAUGCUUGAAUAGGGUGAAGCCAGAGGAAACUCUGGUGGAGGCUCGCAGCGGUUCUGACGUGCAAAUCGAUCGUCAAAUUUGGGCAUAGGGGCGAAAGACUAAUCGAACUAUCUAGUAGCUGGCUCUGCGAG
rnacentral:rRNA from 1 species